GGGAUCCUCCCAACUCAGCCUCCCAAGUAGGUGAAACUACAGGAACCUGACCCAGUUAGCAGAGCUCCAGGGACCCCAGCUGCCUCUGAACGGCUCCUUCCAGAAGACCGAGGACCUUCCCUCCUGCGCCAGAAGGCUGUGACCUGCACAGGUGAGUCUGCGUCCUCAUGGCGCCUCUCCGCAUAGUAAGUGACGAUGGGCAGACAUCCGAGAAGAAAACCACUGGCGAUGCUGGCUGGAUGGUCUCCCGGGGGGACCACUUGAGAAGGGUGGGGAGCUUAGGAGGGUGAAAGGCUUUUCUAAGGAAGUGAUAGUUGGGUUCCUACUGCCUGAGAAACCAGCUAACAAAGGCCCAGACUGAGGACACAGCAGGUGCACAGGCACAGGAGAAAGAGAUUCAGAUUCAAGGAGUAAACAGGAGGUCUGGGAUUUGCAGAGAGCAGGGGUGGGGUAAGGUGGGAGGUGGGCAGGGGAAGGCUGACAUAGGAGGCUGAUGCCACAGACUGGUGUCAGCAGUGGCAGGAGGCUUUUACAGGGUUUAUGUGGGGAGCAAAUGACACAGCUUAUGUUUAAACAGCCCUCUGGGGACUAGUCCUCUAUGUUCUACCUGGAAACCAGGUGGCGAGGAGUGAGGGUCGAGUGGAGCACAUUUAUGAGGACAUGGGUGGUAUUUUCACUUAUCUGGGGCCCUUCUGAUUUUAAGACACUUAGAGGCGGACAAGAAACAUGACUUUUUACUUGCAUUCAUUAAAUGUGUAAGUUUACCGAAAUGCCUCUGUGACUGAGACAUCAUGCUCGCACAGCAGACGUCACUGACACGAGUGGCAGUUCCAAAAUGUCCUGAGUGCAAGCCAGCACAAAAGGGGCUGAAAAAUCUCAGGGUCGGGAGUCUGCGAGGAUGACACCUCGCGUAUGUCUGCACUUCCCUCGGGCGAGUGGGCGCAGCACUUUGUUUGUAAAAGGAAUAACCUCAGAAUGUUGGUUAAAUAUGGCCUCACUUUGCCAUGGCAACCUCACAGGCGCACAUCUACCGAGGCUAUGCAGGAUUCCUUCCAAAUUGGGAGGGAUUUCUGCCAGGGUACAAGUGGGAUUCUUUCUCUCUCUGCACAGUUAGGAGCACAUGUCCCAGAGAGCUCCAGUACCCACCUCCAAGUGGUCUGACAAGCUACAGUCUAUGCUCUGUGCUGGUUAACAACUUCUCAUGCAAAUUUAAAUGCCCUUAUUUUGUGGAACAGUGUUUUCCUUGGCACGCUCAGAGUUCCACAGCAUUAAUUUUAGGUAUUUUUUUUUAAAACAAAAGGAUAUACACAUUCUACCUUUAAAUAAUGAUACAACAAGUAUUGAGAGAGAUUUCAGCCUCUGCUGUUCCACCUGUUACCCUACCAGACCUUCUCUGGAGUUAGAAAGUUACACAAUAUGUGGAUGUACAAUGUCAGUCCUUUGUCUGUAUUUAUCUUUCCCAAAACAGUGAUUUAUCAGCCUGCAAAUUGAUAUGGUCAAUUCGGGCAAAUGUGAUGGAAGGCGGGUCACCUGCCUACCUGUGACCAAAUAUUGGCAGAGGCAUUUCAUCUUAAAUAACUACUUUUCAGAACUGGCCACAGAUACUCAGAGGCCAGCGUGUCAAAUGUCAGUCACAUUCAGGACUCACCUACAUGGCCCAGGAGAAGGGGGCUGGCAUAAGCCUGCACCAACAAAGUGGGUGGCGCCUAAUACCCAGCGGAUGUGGAUGGGAAGCUCCCAGCACGGGCUCCUGAAGGACCCCGCAGAGGUAGAACUCGGAGCAGUGCCUCUGCCCUGGUGGCACAAUGCUUUUGCUUUGUAUUGAUUUUUUGUUUUUUUCUUCAGACAACACGGAGGACUGAAUAGUUGGAUGGGGAGGAACCUGAAAAGGCUGUCUAGUGAGUCUUCCUCUUGGACUAAGUGAAUUCUUCUUUCUGAGAAACGUAGCCUGGGACCAUGUGGCCCUCUGAUACAGAAGAAUGUUUGUCUGUGGGCACGAACUGUUUCAAGCAUUAACGUGAAAAUCAAUGCAAAAUCUGUUUUCUGGGGCGAGCUUUUCCUUUUGAGAGAACUAUAAUACAGUCAUAAGAUUGCAUGGUGUUCACUGGAAUAGGCACCUUUGAAAUUACCCAAUUUUAAAGUCCCUUAAUUCAAACAAAAAUUCAGGGCAGAAUUACUUUGCCAGCUUGCUUUCUUUAUAUCUGGAAAACUUGGACUCUCUUCCGAGAAGAUAUUUUACGUUGAUUUUUAAAAUACUUCUCUCAAAACAAAUGCCAAUUUCAAAUAAUUCUGAAAUUUUUUAUCUUGACUAUAAUCUAAAAAUUAACAUAUUUUAUCUACCUUCUGCCACUACUCUUACUAAAAUUAAUUCUCAAAAGGCACCCAUUCAAGAUCCCUUUUCUAGGCGUCUUGGAAUAUAUAUACUACAUUAUUAUUAGCUGGCGUCAGCCUGCAAGGUAAUAGAACACCAGAACUUAUUCUUACAAUUACUAUGUGUUGAUUAGAAACAAAAUUAAUUAAAAAAACAAACAAAAAAAGUAACACGGCACCCAAACCUGCCUGGUGCAGGUGCACACUCCCGUUCUGCCUUUUGCUCUUCCUGGCAUUUGGCUGGCUUGGUCAUUUCAUUGUUCUUGAAAUUCCCUCCCCUUGUGGCUGAUGGAUUCACUUGAUAAUUUCCAAGCUGCUCUUUCUAUUCCUUCCUCUGCCAAAUUAAAAUGUUCCCUAGAUUCUGUGCUUGAGCCUCUACUUUCAUCCUUGGCAACUUCAUUCACUGCAUGAAUUUAACUUCUACCUCUAAUUAAACAACUCAUAAAGCUUCA